AGUGUCCUCGCGGGCCAGCGACGGGCAGGACGCCCCGUUCGCCUAGCGCGUGCUCAGGAGUUGGUGUCCUGCCUGCGCUCAGGAUGAGGGGGAAUCUGGCCCUGGUGGGCGUUCUAAUCAGCCUGGCCUUCCUGUCACUGCUGCCAUCUGGACAUCCUCAGCCGGCUGGCGAUGACGCCUGCUCUGUGCAGAUCCUCGUCCCUGGCCUCAAAGGGGAUGCGGGAGAGAAGGGAGACAAAGGCGCCCCCGGACGGCCUGGAAGAGUCGGCCCCACGGGAGAAAAAGGAGACAUGGGGGACAAAGGACAGAAAGGCAGUGUGGGUCGUCAUGGAAAAAUUGGUCCCAUUGGCUCUAAAGGUGAGAAAGGAGAUUCCGGUGACAUAGGACCCCCUGGUCCUAAUGGAGAACCAGCUCCUUCGGCACCGCAGAGAUGAGGAGGAACGGCUGCUUGGAAGGUGUGCUUGCCGGUGUGACUUGGCUGAGUGUGAGUGCGCUGAGAUCAGUGUCACUGACUGGCCGAGCAGCAUCCGCUCAGGGCACCUCCAGGCACUCAGCCAACCUGAGGGGCCCGGACAAAGCCUCUGGGAGACAGAAGGACCUGGAGGCCUCCCAUGUGAGUGCAGCCAGCUGCGCAAGGCCAUCGGGGAGAUGGACAACCAGGUCUCUCAGCUGACCAGCGAGCUCAAGUUCAUCAAGAAUGCUGUCGCCGGUGUGCGCGAGACGGAGAGCAAGAUCUACCUGCUGGUGAAGGAGGAGAAGCGCUACGCGGACGCCCAGCUGUCCUGCCAGGGCCGCGGGGGCACGCUGAGCAUGCCCAAGGACGAGGCUGCCAAUGGCCUGAUGGCCGCAUACCUGGCGCAAGCCGGCCUGGCCCGUGUCUUCAUCGGCAUCAACGACCUGGAGAAGGAGGGCGCCUUCGUGUACUCUGACCACUCCCCCAUGCGGACCUUCAACAAGUGGCGCAGCGGUGAGCCCAACAAUGCCUACGACGAGGAGGACUGCGUGGAGAUGGUGGCCUCGGGCGGCUGGAACGACGUGGCCUGCCACACCACCAUGUACUUCAUGUGUGAGUUUGACAAGGAGAACAUGUGAGCCUCAGGCUGGGGCUGCCCAUUGGGGGCCCCACAUGUCCCUGCAGGGUUGGCAGGGACAGAGCCCAGACCAUGGUGCCAGCCAGGGAGCUGUCCCUCUGUGAAGGGUGGAGGCUCACUGAGUAGAGGGCUGUUGUCUAAACUGAGAAAAUGGCCUAUGCUUAAGAGGAAAAUGAAAGUGUUCCUGGGGUGCUGUCUCUGAAGAAGCAGAGUUUCAUUACCUGUAUUGUAGCCCCAAUGUCAUUAUGUAAUUAUUACCCAGAAUUGCUCUUCCAUAAAGCUUGUGCCUUUGUCCAAGCUAUACAAUAAAAUCUUUAAGUAGUGCAGUAGUUAAGUCCAAAUAGUGGCAAUGGGGUCUUGAAUUACUACCUUUUAAUUUCUAUAUGGAAAAGAACUCACUUUGACCAACACUUCUGUAAAUUACAUUACAAUAUAGGUUCCUUCACACUAUUAUCCAUGUAAAAACAAUUUUGCUUUGCUUCAAACCCAGAUUUCAGGAAAACAACAACAAAAUUCUCCAAACUUUA